rnacentral:tRNA from 1 species
AGUGUCGUGGUCGAGUGGUUUAAGGCGCUUGACUAGAGAUGCAAAGGUCAAGGGUUCGAAUCCCGACACUG